rnacentral:lncRNA from 1 species
UUAAGAAAGGACCAAAAGUUCGAGUGGUGAAAAUUUGUGAAGUUUUUUUUUGUCGAUAGAGAAAUACUAUAAGGAUGAAAUUGCUGUUACGUGGUAGAUACAGACACCUGUCAUAUUCUCUUAAGAAGACCAUGACAAUAUGUUUUUGAUGUUACCUAUAAAGGAUGAGAUAAUACUUUUAUAAUUUGGUGGCAUGAUAGUAAGAUCAUUUUAGUACUGCAAUCUCCAUCAAGGGAUGGUAAAAUUUGCGAAGUUUUUUUUUGUCAAUAGGGAAAUACUAUAAGGAUGAAAUUGCUGUUACGUGGUAGAUACAGACACCUGUCAUAUUCUCUUAAGAAGACCAUGACAAUAUGUUUUUGAUGUUACCUAUAAAGGCUGAGAUAAUACUUUUAUCAUUUGGUGGCAUGAUAGUAAGAUCAUUUUAGUACUGCAAUCUUCAUCAAGGGAUGGUAAAAUUUGCGAAGUUUUUUUUUGUCGAUAGGGAAAUACUAUAAGGAUGAAAUUGCUGUUACGUGGUAGAUACAGACACCUGUCAUAUUCUCUUAAGAAGACCAUGACAAUAUGUUUUUGAUGUUACCUAUAAAGGAUGAGAUAAUACUUUUAUCAUUUGGUGGCAUGAUAGUAAGAUCAUUUUAGUACUGCAAUCUCCAUCAAGGGAUGGUAAAAUUUGCGAAGUUUUUUUUUGUCGAUAGGGAAAUACUAUAAGGAUGAAAUUGCUGUUACGUGGUAGAUACAGACACCUGUCAUAUUCUCUUAAGAAGACCAUGACAAUAUGUUUUUGAUGUUACCUAUAAAGGAUGAGAUAAUACUUUUAU